CUGUUCCUUUGCGUUCUCUCUUGUGAAGGUUAAUGGGGAAAAGCUCCGGCAAGAACAGUACUGCCACCAGUAAUAUCAACACCGGCAGCACUCUGGCAACCAAGCCCAAGCGCACACGCAAAAGCGUCCCCCGUGAUUCUCCUCCGUGGCACAGUUCGAUCUACCGUGGCGUCACGAGGCGUCGGUGGACGGGCCGCUAUGAAGCUCACUUGUGGGAUAGGAAUUGCUGGAAUGCGUCUCAGAACAAGAAAGGAAGACAAUAAUUUCUCUAUCCAUGGGUCCGCUGGUGCCGGUGGUGGUUUCCAACUUAAAUGCAGUAAUAUCUAGGGGCGUAUGAUGACGAAGAAGCCGCAGCACAUGCAUAUGACUUUGCAGCAUUGAAGUACGUACUGGGGACAUGAAACCAUUCUCAAUUUCCCGGUUGGAUGUAGGAGAAGGCAAAUACCUUGAUCUCCAACACUGCCCAAGACCAAAGCUAGCUGCUACAACAAAUCAUCAAGUAUUUUGA